CGGCCCAAUUGAUAGUGUGGGUGGAAGGGCAGUGGGCGCUUGAUGUGUCCUAAAAAACAUAGCACCUGAUCCUUCCAAAUCAAAACUAAGCCUUUCUCUUCCAAUCAAAACUAACACAAUAGAAAGAAUAUCUGUUCCUCACUUGAUUCGUCUCUCAGGAAACCCUAAAACAUGUCCGGCGGUUUUUUCCGGGGCACUUCUGCCGAGCAGGACACUCGGUUCUCUAAUAAGCAAGCUAAGCUGUUGAAAUCUCAGAAGUUCGCUCCUGAAUUGGAAAAUCUGGUGGACAUGACAAAGGUGAAGAUGGAUGUAAUGAAACCAUGGAUUGCUAAGCGAGUUACCGAGCUUAUCGGUUUUGAAGAUGAAGUGCUUAUCAAUUUCAUUUAUAGUCUUCUUGAACGAAAGGUUGUUAAUGGCAAGGAGGUUCAAAUUUCACUUACAGGAUUCAUGGAAAGAAACACUGGCAAAUUUAUGAAAGAGCUUUGGGUGCUACUACUUAGUGCACAGAACAAUGCGAGCGGUGUUCCUCAGCAGUUCCUAGAAGCCAAAGAAGAGGAAAUGAUGAAGAAGAAGGCUGAGAUGGAUCGGAUUGCUAACGAGAUUCAGAAGAAAAAGGAGAGAGAGAAUAGGGAGCUGGAUCAAGAGAAAAGGAAGAAAAUGGACGAUUAUGGCAGCAAUUCGAGAGAGAAAAAUGCUGAACGAGAGCCAACUCCAAAACAUCAGGUUCUGGUGCGCUUGAUUGAUGAUUUAGACCCUGUUGAGAGAAAUGGAUCAAGAAUAAGAAACAGGGUCUCUAAGUCCCCACGUUCAAUAGAUCAUUCACCCUCCCCCAGGAGAUCAAGGUCAAUCAGCAAGUCAUUCUCUAGUUCGAGGAGUUACUCUAGUGAAAGGCACAGGACACGAAGUACAUCUCGAUCUCCUGGAGAAAGGAGAGGUCACUCUCUUUCAUCUGAAAGGGUAUAUCCCGCUCCACCAAGGUGUUCUGUUUCACCUUGUAGGAUACAUUCACCUCGACGAUCCCUUUCUCCACCUAGGCACAGACAGAGUUCAACCUCUCGAUUACGUCGAAGGUCACCGUCUCCUGUGCGAUACCGAAGACGCUCUCCAUUCAGACGUAGAUCGAGGUCUCCACGUCGACGUAAAUCAAGGUCUCCACUUCGACGUAGAUCAAGGUCUCCUCUUCGACACAGAUCGAGGUCUCCUCUUCGACGUAGAUCGAGGUCUCCCAUUCGGCGUAGAUCACGAUCCCCUAUGUGGUGUAGGUCAAGGUCUCCAAGUAGACUCUCACCAAUGCGAUACAGAUCAAAGUCACCUAUUAGAUGUCAAUCACCACUCCGACAUAGAGCACCAUCUCCAACGCGACAUAGGUCCCCUUCUCUAACAAGUCUGGGGUAUCACCGAUCUCCUUUGAGUCCUCGGCGAAGUUCUCCAUUUCUAGCUAAGCGAAAGUCCUCCAUUUCUGUUAGGAAGAGAUCCUUAACCCCUGUGAGGUCUCUUUUUCCUCAAGAAUUAGUUUUGCCCUCACCCAUUUUCUGUAGGUCUCCUUCACCAAUCAGAAAGAGAAUAUUGAAGAAUGAAAGAUCACCAGUUCGUUCUCAUCGGGGAAGGAUAAGGGGCCGCGACAAAUACUCCCCUGUUCAACAUGCUUCUCCAGUAAAAACUGAGGCCCAUAAAGGAUCCAGAUCUUUGGAACGUAGACGUCCUAUUUCUCCUAGGUCACUGCAGAAUAUAUAUGACCGUAAGGAUUCACGGGAAAAAGAGCUGCUUUUGCCUCAGCUGAGCUGGUCACCAUCUGUUCCAGAACCUCCACAUCGCUCCAGAUCUGACUCAGAAUCUCCACCAACCAAAAGGGAAAGGAAUCCUAGUGAAGAUAGAGGGCCAAGGAGCACUUCAAACCGGAGGGAGAGAAAGAUGAUGGACACUGACAGCCCUAGUCCAAGUAAAUUGAGAGAGUGCAGAGUUAGUUCUGACAUUUCUGAGAAAAUUGCAGCUGAGAAAGAAAUGAACCGUUCAAGGGAGGCUUUUGAGCAUAGACCUAGGUCUUCAAGAAAAAUUCUCACAACACACGAUCCAUAUAAAGAUCUUGGAAAGGGGUGGGAUGAGAGAGAAUGUUCUGAAAUUCAUAGCCAUUCAGAUCACCUGGAUUCGAGAAAGCUAAAUGAAGUGAUUAACAGAGAAAUAUUGACAGGAAGGAUGGAGCACACAAAGGAACUGGAUCAACAAAAGUCACCAUCAGCUCAUAGACACUCUCCUUCAAUUAAGAGGUUAAAGGAAUCAUAUGAUGGGGAGAGUUUCAAAACAGAUAAGGAAAACCUGUCUCACACAAAUGAUAAGGGCAAAGAGCUACAUGUUGAGUUAGAAGCCCCCCUCACUUCAUCAAGGAAAGUUGAGCAGAAUGAUCUAAGUAGUAACAAGGGUUCUGGUUUCGAGGAAAGUGAAAAGCGUAGAACUAAAGAUAAGGAAAAAAGAAAGCAUAAGAGGUCUGACAGAUAUGACUCAACGUCAGAUGAUAGUUUUGAUUCUUAUGUUGAGGAUAGGAAGGAGGCUAAAAGGAGGAGGAAAGAGGAGAGAAAAUUGAAGAAAGAGGAGAAGCGUCGCCGGCGGGAGGAGAGGCGGCGCAGAAAGCUGAAUUGCAUAAAAGAGGGUUUCCUGAGCUAGUGUCUUGAACUCAACUUUAUGCUGACCUACCUGCUAAACCUUCUGAUCAUUACCUUGUCUACUAGAUGACCUCGUUGAGCAGACCCGUGCAGCUCCAUAUGUGGAUCUCCAAUACAGCUUGAAUUCCUCUCCAGAAUGUGAUUAGCCUUUUCAUGGUGAUCUGAGUUCCUGUUCAUUUUUAUCAGUGUUUGUAUCAGCAGUUAAGACAAUACUGGUGCAGUAUACUCUACUUGAAAUCCAUGUAGAGCUGUAGAAGUGAACCUUUGUCCCCCCACCCCACUUUAGAACCUUCUAGAUACUGUCUUCAUGCUUUUUGAUUGUUCCUAGGUUUAGUUUGAUAUGUUGUGUCAAAUCUUUUAAUCCUGCCCAGCUGGUUUUUAUCAAACUAUUCCAUGCAUGUAGGUGUGUGCUUAUGUAUAUCAGGAUAACUUGCAUUGAUUAUACCAUAUGGGAUGAGUUCAAUAUGGAUAUCACUUCUAUCUGAGGGGCAACCUUUCCUUUACCUCCUCGAAGAAGCUAAAUUCUUUGAUAUCAUAAACAUAAGCAUAAAGGUUUCUCAAGGAUUCUAGAGGAAUGGAAGGGUGUAAGGAAGAUAACAAGUGAAAGACUUCUUAUGCUUUAAUGGACAAAUGAGGAUGAGAGAUAAUCCGGGGAAGCAGUGGGAGAACAACUAGAUCUUUUGUUUUUAUCCCAGGUGCAACCUUCCCUUCACCUCCCAUAUCUAUUUGGAAGAAGCUUAAUUGUUUAGUAUCAUAAACAUAAGCAUAAAGGUUUUGUCAAGGAUUCUAGAUUGGAAGGGAUAUGCAAAAGGAAGGUAAGGUAUCUCAAGGAUUCUAGAGUGGGAGGGGCAUGUAAAGGAAGGUAAGACUUUUUAUGCUUUGAUGAACAAUGGGGGAUAGAGAUAAUCUUUAGCCAAGGGGGAGGCAAAAGGAGGAUUACCUGCAUCUUUUGUUUUUAUUCAGACAAUGUACUAUGAAAACCUUUUGGAUGUCCAGCAAGAGACAUGAUAUUAGCUGUUAGAUUAUUAUUCCAUGGUUGUAAUUGCAUAGAUACUUGUUUCUUACUUCCAUCAGGGGCAGGGAGUCAUUUUCUUCA